rnacentral:rRNA from 1 species
UACGUAGGUCCCGAGCGUUGUCCGGAUUCAUUGGGCGUAAAGCGAGCGCAGGUGGUUUAUUAAGUCUGGUGUAAAAGGCAGUGGCUCAACCAUUGUAUGCAUUGGAAACUGGUAGACUUGAGUGCAGGAGAGGAGAGUGGAAUUCCAUGUGUAGCGGUGAAAUGCGCAGAUAUAUGGAGGAACACCGGUGGCGAAAGCGGCUCUCUGGCCUGUAACUGACACUGAGGCUCGAAAGCGUGGGGAGCAAACAGG